rnacentral:rRNA from 1 species
ACAAAGACGAGUUUGAUCCUGGCUCAGGAUGAACGCUAGCGGCAGGCUUAACACAUGCAAGUCGAGGGGCAGCGCGGAGUAGCAAUACUCUGGCGGCGACCGGCGGAAGGGUGCGUAACACGUGAGCAACUUGCCCGUGACAGGGGGAUAAGCGAUGGAAACGUCGUCUAACAUCCCGUAACACGAGGGGAGGCAUCUCCCUUCGUUGAAAACUCCGGUGGUCACGGAUGGGCUCGCGGGACAUUAGCUAGUUGGCGGGGCAACGGCCCACCAAGUCGACGAUGGGUCUGGGAUCUGAGAUGACGGUCCCCCACACUGGUACUCAGACACGGACCA